rnacentral:rRNA from 1 species
GAUGAACGCUGGCGGCGUGCCUAAUACAUGCAAGUAGAACGCUGAAGCUUGGUGCUUGCACCGAGCGGAUGAGUUGCGAACGGGUGAGUAACGCGUAGGUAACCUGCCUCUUAGCGGGGGAUAACUAUUGGAAACGAUAGCUAAUACCGCAUAAAAGACGAUAUCGCAUGAUAUUGAUUUGAAAGGCGCAAUUGCAUCACUAAGAGAUGGACCUGCGUUGUAUUAGCUAGUUGGUGAGGUAACGGCUCACCAAGGCGACGAUACAUAGCCGACCUGAGAGGGUGAUCGGCCACACUGGGACUGAGACACGGCCCAGACUCCUACGGGAGGCAGCAGUAGGGAAUCUUCGGCAAUGGGGGCAACCCUGACCGAGCAACGCCGCGUGAGUGAAGAAGGUUUUCGGAUCGUAAAGCUCUGUUGUAAGAGAAGAACGAGUGUGAGAGUGGAAAGUUCACACUGUGACGGUAACUUACCAGAAAGGGACGGCUAACUACGUGCCAGCAGCCGCGGUAAUACGUAGGUCCCGAGCGUUAUCCGGAUUUAUUGGGCGUAAAGCGAGCGCAGGCGGGUAGAUAAGUCUGAAGUUAAAGGCUGUGGCUUAACCAUAGUACGCUUUGGAAACUGUUUAACUUGAGUGCAGAAGGGGAGAGUGGAAUUCCAUGUGUAGCGGUGAAAUGCGUAGAUAUUGGAGGAACACCGGUGGGCGAAAGCGGCUCUCUGGUCUGUAACUGACGCUGAAGCUCGAAAGCGUGGGGAGCAAACAUG